rnacentral:snRNA from 1 species
AUACUUACCUGGCAGGGGGAUACCAUGAUCACGAAGGUGGUUCGCCCAGGGCGAGGCUCAGCCAUUGCACUGCGGAUGUGCUGACCCCUGUGAAUUCCCCACAUGCGGGAAUCUCAACUGCAUAAUUUGUGGUAGUGGGGACUGCGUUCGCGCUCUCCCCU